AUACUUACCAGGCAGGGGAGAUACCAUGAUCACGAAGGUGGUUUUCCCAGGGCACGGCUUAUCCAUUGCACUCUGGAUGUGCUGACCCCUGUGAUCUCCCCAAAUGUGGGAAACUUGAUUGCACAAUUUGUGGUAGUGGGGAAGGGGGAAAAAAUGAGCAUGGCAUUUAUU